rnacentral:rRNA from 1 species
GAUGAACGCUAGCGGCAGGCCUAAUACAUGCAAGUCGAGGGGUAGAAGAGGCUUGCUUCUUUGAGACCGGCGCACGGGUGCGUAACGCGUAUGCAACCUACCUUCAUCUGGGGGAUAGCCCGGAGAAAUCCGGAUUAAUACCGCAUAAAAUCACAGGAUGGCAUUAUCCAAUGAUCAAACAUUUAUGGGAUGGAGACGGGCAUGCGUGUCAUUAGCUAGUUGGCGGGGUAACGGCCCACCAAGGCGACGAUGACUAGGGGAUCUGAGAGGAUGGCCCCCCACACUGGUACGGAGACACGGACCAGACUCCUACGGGAGGCAGCAGUAAGGAAUAUUGGUCAAUGGAGGCAACUCUGAACCAGCCAUGCCGCGUGCAGGAAGACUGCCCUAUGGGUUGUAAACUGCUUUUAUUCGGGAAUAAACCUUAUUACGUGUAAUAAGCUGAAUGUACCGAAGGAAUAAGGAUCGGCUAACUCCGUGCCAGCAGCCGCAGUAACAC